UACGAAGGGGGCUAGCGUUGCUCGGAAUUACUGGGCGUAAAGCGCACGUAGGCGGCUUUCUAAGUCGGGGGUGAAAUCCUGGAGCUCAACUCCAGAACUGCCUUCGAUACUGGAGAGCUUGAGUCCGGGAGAGGUGAGUGGAACUGCGAGUGUAGAGGUGAAAUUCGUAGAUAUUCGCAAGAACACCAGUGGCGAAGGCGGCUCACUGGCCCGGUACUGACGCUGAGGGGCGAAAGCGUGGGGAGCAAACAGG
rnacentral:rRNA from 1 species